rnacentral:rRNA from 1 species
UAGUUGCAAGGUAUAGACCCGAAACCCGGUGAUCUAGCCAUGGGCAGGUUGAAGGUUGGGUAACACUAACUGGAGGACCGAACCGACUAAUGUUGAAAAAUUAGCGGAUGACUUGUGGCUGGGGGUGAAAGGCCAAUCAAACCGGGAGAUAGCUGGUUCUCCCCGAAAGCUAUUUAGGUAGCGCCUCGUGAACUCAUCUUCGGGGGUAGAGCACUGUUUCGGCUAGGGGGCCAUCCCGGCUUACCAAACCGAUGCAAACUCCGAAUACCGAAGAAUGUUAUCACGGGAGACACACGGCGGGUGCUAACGUCCGUCGUGAAGAGGGAAACAACCCAGACCGCCAGCUAAGGUCCCAAAGUCAUGGUUAAGUGGGAAACGAUGUGGGAAGGCAUAGACAGCCAGGAUGUUGGCUUAGAAGCAGCCAUCAUUUAAAGAAAGCGUAAUAGCUCACUGGUCGAGUCGGCCUGCGCGGAAGAUGUAACGGGGCUAAACCAUGCACCGAAGCUGCGGCAGCGACGCUUAGGCGUUGUUGGGUAGGGGAGCGUUCUGUAAGCCGUUGAAGGUGGCCUGUGAGGGUUGCUGGAGGUAUCAGAAGUGCGAAUGCUGACAUAAGUAACGAUAAAGCGGGUGAAAAGCCCGCUCGCCGGAAGACCAAGGGUUCCUGUCCAACGUUAAUCGGGGCAGGGUGAGUCGACCCCUAAGGCGAGGCCGAAAGGCGUAGUCGAUGGGAAACAGGUUAAUAUUCCUGUACUCGGUGUUACUGCGAAGGGGGGACGGAGAAGGCUAGGCUAGCCGGGCGACGGUUGUCCCGGUUUAAGCGUGUAGGGGGAGUGACCCGGUAAAUCCGGUUGCUUAUUCAACCCUGAGGCGUGAUGACGAUGCACNGCGGAUGGAGCUGAAGCCAGUCGCAGAUACCAGCUGGCUGCAACUGUUUAAUAAAAACACAGCACUGUGCAAACACGAAAGUGGACGUAUACGGUGUGACGCCUGCCCGGUGCUGGAAGGUUAAUUGAUGGGGUCAGCCGCAAGGCGAAGCUCUUGAUCGAAGCCCCAGUAAACGGCGGCCGUAACUAUAACGGUCCUAAGGUAGCGAAAUUCCUUGUCGGGUAAGUUCCGACCUGCACGAAUGGCGUAAUGAUGGCCAGGCUGUCUCCACCCGAGACUCAGUGAAAUUGAACUCGCUGUGAAGAUGCAGUGUACCCGCGGCAAGACGGAAAGACCCCGUGAACCUUUACUAUAGCUUGACACUGAACAUUGAGCCUUGAUGUGUAGGAUAGGUGGGAGGCUUUGAAGCGUGGACGCCAGUCUGCGUGGAGCCAACCUUGAAAUACCACCCUUUAAUGUUUGAUGUUCUAACUCGGCCCCAUAAUCUGGGGUGAGGACAGUGUCUGGUGGGUAGUUUGACUGGGGCGGUCUCCUCCCAAAGAGUAACGGAGGAGCACGAAGGUUAGCUAAUCACGGUCGGACAUCGUGAGGUUAGUGCAAAGGCAUAAGCUAGCUUGACUGCGAGAGUGACGGCUCGAGCAGGUACGAAAGUAGGUCUUAGUGAUCCGGUGGUUCUGAAUGGAAGGGCCAUCGCUCAACGGAUAAAAGGUACUCCGGGGAUAACAGGCUGAUACCGCCCAAGAGUUCAUAUCGACGGCGGUGUUUGGCACCUCGAUGUCGGCUCAUCACAUCCUGGGGCUGAAGUAGGUCCCAAGGGUAUGGCUGUUCGCCAUUUAAAGUGGUACGCGAGCUGGGUUUAGAACGUCGUGAGACAGUUCGGUCCCUAUCUGCCGUGGGCGUUGGAAGAUUGAGAGGGGUUGCUCCUAGUACGAGAGGACCGGAGUGAACGCACCACUGGUGUUCGGGUUGUCAUGCCAAUGGCACUGCCCGGUAGCUAAGUGCGGAAAAGAUAAGCGCUGAAAGCAUCUAAGCGCGAAACUUGCCUCGAGAUGAGUCUUCCCUGGGCCUUUAAGGCCCCUGAAGGAACGUUUAAGACUAAGACGUUGAUAGGCUGGGUGUGUAAGUGCAGCGAUGCAUUGAGCUAACCAGUACUAAUGAUCCGUGAGGCUUAACCUU